rnacentral:tRNA from 2 species
AGCCGGUUAGCUCAGCUGGUUAGAGCGUGGUGCUAAUAACGCCAAGGUUGCGGGUUCGAUCCCCGCACUGGCCA